GACGAACGCUGGCGGCGUGCUUAACACAUGCAAGUCGAACGGAAAGGCCCUGCUUUUGUGGGGUGCUCGAGUGGCGAACGGGUGAGUAACACGUGAGUAACCUGCCCUUGACUUUGGGAUAACUUCAGGAAACUGGGGCUAAUACCGGAUAGGAGCUCCUGAUGCAUGGUGGGGGUUGGAAAGUUUCGGCGGUUGGGGAUGGACUCGCGGCUUAUCAGCUUGUUGGUGGGGCAGUGGCUUACCAAGGCUUUGACGGGUAGCCGGCCUGAGAGGGUGACCGGCCACAUUGGGACUGAGAUACGGCCCAGACUCCUACGGGAGGCAGCAGUGGGGAAUAUUGCACAAUGGGCGGAAGCCUGAUGCAGCAACGCCGCGUGCGGGAUGACGGCCUUCGGGUUGUAAACCGCUUUCGCCUGUGACGAAGCGUGAGUGACGGUAAUGGGUAAAGAAGCACCGGCUAACUACGUG
rnacentral:rRNA from 1 species